rnacentral:lncRNA from 1 species
UUUUGUUCUUUAGUAGAAGGAUAACAUGACAUAGCAGGAAUAAUACUGCCUUUUCUUUCUGGCAUGGAUCAAGAGAAAAGAAAAUACAAGAAAACAGACAGAAGAUCCUAUCUGUGACAAUUAAGAGCACUCUAAGAGGAAAACACAUCCCACCACACAAGGCAAGCUACAUCUAUAGAAGGGUGAGCCCUCACAGAUGGAGCAAUGGUGAGUGCACACCUGAACAAGGGAGGGGAAGGAGUUCUUAUCCCUGACGCAUGUGGCCCCUGCUGCUGUGUCGUUCUCCUAUUGGCUAAGGCUUCUGAUAGCUUUGGAGAUUGUGACAUUGGAAUACAGAAAAAACGUACAGGACUCAUGAAGAGCUGAAAUGUUCACAAAUAUCAAGCAAAAGUCAAUGACAUUUAUUUUGAGCUAUUUACAGCGUUUCAUAAUUGAGCAAGGUAUACUCCUAUGAACAAAAUUUGGAGCAUGUUUGUCUCUCUCUCUCUGCCUGGCAUCUUCAGAAUUUGGAAACUAGUUAUGGUUUAUAAUCAGCUAUAGAAUUUUGACACAUGCUCUCAAAUGCAGGUUUCUGUUAACUUUGGAGAUUGUGACAUUGGAAUAAAGGAAGAGCUGAAAUGUUCACGAAUAUCAAGCAAAAGUCAAGGAAAUUUAUUUUGAGCUAUUUACAGCAUUUAAUAAUUGAGCAAGGUAUAUUCCUAUGAACAAAAUUUGGAGCAUGUUUGUCUCUGUCUGUCUGCCUGGCGUCUACAGAAUUUGGAAACUAGUUUCUUUCUCAGAUUUCCUAAACUUUCCAGAGAAAAUGGUCUUCUCCCUGGCUCAGCAAGAAGAUGAACUUUAAACACUGAGAAAGUCAUCAUCUCCCUGGCUCAACCAGAAGAUGAACUUUAAACACUAUUCUCAAUGACUCGAUGUUCCCAUCACUACUACUAUCAUAAAGGGAGGGGACCCAGAUACUGAGAAUUUUAUCAUAGUGUGAACUGUCUGGUAUGUCAUUUAAGUAAGCCCAUUGCUGAAAUAUUUUCCAUGUUAUUAGAAAGAGCUGAAGAGAGGGGUUGCAAUGGCUUCUUUAUUUUUUGUCUUUUGGGGAUUAAAGGAACCUGGUUCAACAAGGGCCUACACCUAAGUCUCUUGUUGUACCAGAGUACAAUUUAGGACUGCUCCUGAGAAGGAAUUAGCUAGAAAUCUAGAGAGUAAGGGUAACAGAUUUACAAUAGAAUAACAGCCUCAGUAUUUUUGGUUCCUCUCCAGUAACGAUCACAAAGAAUAUUGCUAAAUCGCUAAAACACCUUUGCAAUAACGUAAGUGCUUACAGCUAUAUACCAAUGUAGCUCAGUUACUAAACUGGAGUAAAAUAAUUUCUCUUGUGUAGAAAAAUUGGUUGGCUGUGGUUUUAUAGCAGAUUUGCAACUAUUAAUAGUUAUGCCAAUAAUCGUUUAACAGUGCAUAUGUUAAUAUAUAUGGAAAGACAAUGUGUAUAGACAGAUGUGUAAAAUUGAAAAAUAAACAUAUAACGAGAGAGAAACAUCUAUCGAACAGACAAUAUACAUACACGUCAAACACAACAGCAGUUUUAGUGACCAUAAUAUUUAUUUCUCAUUUUUACGUUGGUUACAUUAGUGACAACUGAAAAUGACAGUUGGCAAUGCAGCUAACAGUUUCAAUAAAAGUAUAAAACAAAAGACUGUGUACAAAGCACAUGUCUUUCUGCUUUUGUAAUCUUCCGUUGGAAAAAAUUUACACACCUAAGUAACCAUCUGUUUUCUUCAAGAAAAAAUCAUUCUUAUUUCCCUCUCUCAUCUUGAAAACAGCUGUCAGCCAGGAGGGCAGAGCUGAAAUUUAUUGUCACAUCACAUGAAGCAUAGAACAGACUCCACUACUCCUUAAGUUUCAAAACUUUGCCUCUCACAAAGUUACCUUUUAUUUUCCUCUUGUUUGUCACUCAUCUCCCCUACUGUGCUCUUUUUAUUUCUUUUACUAUUAAUAAUAAAGUUUGUGGAUGACUGUA